UGGGGAAUAUUGUNCAAUGGGCGAAAGCCUGAUGCAGCGACGCCGCGUGAGGGAUGGAGGCCUUCGGGUUGUAAACCUCUUUCGCUCAUGGUCAAGCCGCAACGUUUGGUUGUGGUGAGGGUAGUGGGUAAAGAAGCGCCGGCUAACUACGUGCCAGCAGCCGCGGUAAUACGUAGGGCGCGAGCGUUGUCCGGAAUUAUUGGGCGUAAAGGGCUUGUAGGCGGUUGGUCGCGUCUGCCGUGAAAUCCUCUGGCUUAACUGGGGGCGUGCGGUGGGUACGGGCUGACUUGAGUGCGGUAGGGGAGACUGGAACUCCUGGUGUAGCGGUGGAAUGCGCAGAUAUCAGGAAGAACACCGGUGGCGAAGGCGGGUCUCUGGGCCGUUACUGACGCUGAGGAGCGAAAGCGUGGGGAGCGAACAGGAUUAGAUACCCUGGUAGUCCACGCUGUAAACGUUGGGCACUAGGUGUGGGGGCCACCCGUGGUUUCUGCGCCGUAGCUAACGCUUUAAGUGCCCCGCCUGGGGAGUACGGCCGCAAGGUUGA
rnacentral:rRNA from 1 species